UACGAAGGUCCCGAGCGUUGUUCGGAAUCACUGGGCGUAAAGGGAGCGUAGGCGGCGCGGUAAGUCAGAUGUGAAAUCCCGGGGCUCAACCCCGGAACUGCAUCCGAUACUGCCGUGCUAGAGGAUUGGAGAGGUAGCUGGAAUUCUUGGUGUAGCAGUGAAAUGCGUGGAGAUCAAGCGGAACACCAGUGGCGAAGGCGAGUCCCUGGACAACUCCUGACACUGAUGCACGAAAGCUAGGGGAGCAAACAGG
rnacentral:rRNA from 1 species